CCCUCUCUCCUCUCGCUACGCCGGCGAUGAGCUGCUCGUCGGAACUCCCCUCCCCCUCGCCCAGACUCCGACCAACUCUCCACUCCCUCCCCUGAACCUCCUCCCCCCCACCUCCAAGCAGUCAGGCCUCCCGUCUCCACCCACCAAUCAUCGCCGCGCCAUCUUGUCCAGCAACGCCUCUUCCGCCGUCGUGGCGCCACCCUGAAACCCCAAAGCCUCGGUGUCGUGAUACCAAGGCCACGUUAUCAGGGGCACACCACCACUACCCCGCCCCGAAAUACCUGGGUGCCAGUGUCGCCACCAUUGCGGCGGCGUCCCGAAACCCCUCGGUCUAAGGUAGUACAAUUUCUGCCGCUCAGGGGUCACGGUCGUGGUGAUGGGAUUGAACGCCCGGAAGGAGUGCGCUGACAGGAGCAGGAAGACCGGCGAGAUCACCUACCGCAACUUCUCCUGUUUCCCGCGAGGCCUUCAGGCCAGUGUGAAGCCGGGAAGCCACACCACGGCUGAUGGCGCCAAUGCCGGACCCGGCGACGGGCCGCAGUGCCCACCUCCAUCGCCGGGCUCAACAAAUCUGGCCCCAAGCUUGAGGGUUUAGACAAUCACUGAAGGGAAGCUCUGCUCCAUCAUUGCAGCAACCUGUCUUCAUGAAGCUCCGAGCCGCCUGUUCGAUCUUCUAGCUCCCAGUCAUCAGGGGAUCUUAUGGAGAAGCCCUCCAUACAGCUGCAGUAAGGAAGCUUGUCCUCUUCGCAGAUCGUGAAAGGCCCACAGAUG